rnacentral:lncRNA from 1 species
UCUGAAACCUUCUAUUUCAGACUUUUGAAAACAAAUACGAGCCACGGUACUUCAGCAACAGCUAACUAUUAGUUAUCCAUUAAGAUGUUCCAUCAGGCAGUGCUGUAGCCUCAUACACAUUUUUCGUCUCUAAAGGAAUGCAUCUUUUAUAUCUAGAGUUGUGAAGGAGCACCAGAAGCAAAAGGACCGAUUGAAUCUGGACC